CAGUCGCCGCGGGAAAACGAAGGGUGCAAGCGUUACUCGGAAUUACUGGGCGUAAAGCGUGUGUAGGUGGUUGUUUAAGUCUGUCGUGAAAGCCCUGGGCUCAACCUGGGAAUUGCGAUGGAUACUGGGCGACUAGAGUGCGGUAGAGGAUAGUGGAAUUUCCGGUGUAGCAGUGAAAUGCGUAGAGAUCGGAAGGAACAUCUGUGGCGAAGGCGACUGUCUGGGCCAACACUGACACUGAGACACGAAAGCGUGGGGAGCAAACAGGAUUAGAUACCCGAGUAGUCCCUGUCUCUUAUAC
rnacentral:rRNA from 1 species